rnacentral:rRNA from 1 species
GACGAACGCUGGCGGCGGGCUUAACACAUGCAAGUCGAACGGAAAGGCCCUGCUUUUGUGGGGUGCUCGAGUGGCGAACGGGUGAGUAACACGUGAGUAACCUGCCCUUGACUGUGGGAUAACUUCAGGAAACUGGGGCUAAUACCGGAUAGGAGCUCCUGCUGCAUGGGGGGGGUUGGAAAGUUUCGGCGGUUGGGGAUGGACUCGCGGCUUAUCAGCUUGUUGGUUGGGUAGUGGCUUACCAAGGCUUUGACGGGUAGCCGGCCUGAGAGGGGGACCGGCCACAUUGGGACUGAGAUACGGCCCAGACUCCUACGGGAGGCAGCAGUGGGGAAUAUUGCACAAUGGGCGGAAGCCUGAUGCAGCAACGCCGCGUGCGGGAUGACGGCCUUCGGGGUGUAAACCGCUUUCGCCUGUGACGAAGCGUGAGUGACGGUAAUGGGUAAAGAAGCACCGGCUAACUACGUG